UACGGAGGAUGCGAGCGUUAUCCGGAUUUAUUGGGUUUAAAGGGUGCGUAGGCGGGACCAUAAGUCAGCGGUGAAAUUUUGCAGCUUAACUGUAACAGUGCCGUUGAUACUGGGGAGCUAGGAUUUGGUUGCUGUGGGUGGAAUGUGUGGUGUAGCGGUGAAAUGCUUAGAGAUCACACAGAAUAUCGAUUGCGAAGGCAGCUCACAAAGCCAAGAUUGACGCUGAGGCACGAAAGUGUGGGGAUCAAACAGGA
rnacentral:rRNA from 1 species